CGGGGGGCAGCAGUGGGGAAUUUUGGACAAUGGGGGAAACCCUGAUCCAGCCAUGCCGCGUGUAUGAAGAAGGCCUUAGGGUUGUAAAGUACUUUUGUUAGGGAAGAAAAGCUAGUUUUUAAUAAAAAUUAGUGAUGACGGUACCUAAAGAAUAAGCACCGGCUAACUACGUGCCAGCAGCCGCGGUAAUACGUAGGGUGCAAGCGUUAAUCGGAAUUAUUGGGCGUAAAGCGAGUGCAGACGGUUACUUAAGCCAGAUGUGAAAUCCCCAAGCUUAACUUGGGACGUGCAUUUGGAACUGGGUAACUAGAGUGUGUCAGAGGGAGGUAGAAUUCCACAUGUAGCGGUGGAAUGCGUAGAGAUGUGGAGGAAUACCGAUGGCGAAGGCAGCCUCCUGGGAUAACACUGACGUUGAGGCUCGAAAGCGUGGGGAGCAAACAGGAUUAGAUACCCCAGU
rnacentral:rRNA from 1 species